rnacentral:rRNA from 1 species
UACGUAGGGUGCGAGCGUUAAUCGGAAUUACUGGGCGUAAAGUGUGCGCAGGCGGCAGAGCAAGUCGAGUGUGAAAGCCCCCGGCUCAACUGGGGAGGGUCAUUCGAUACUGAUCGACUCGAAGGCAGGAGAGGGUAGUGGAAUUCCUGGUGUAGCGGUGGAAUGCGCAGAUAUCAGGAGGAACACCGAUGGCGAAGGCAGUUCUCUGGGCCGUAACUGACGCUGAGGAGCGAAAGCGUGGGGAGCGAACAGG